CUAGCGACUUCAGAGUUUGAUCCUGGCUCAGGAUUAACGCUGGCGGCGUGCAUAACACAUUCAAGUCGAACGGAGUGUAGCAAUACACUUAGUGGCGGACGGGUGAGUAACGCGUGAGCAAUCUACCUUCCAGUGCGGAAUAACAACCGGAAACAGUUGCUAAUACCGCAUGAAAUAGCAGUUUCGCAUGAAACAACUAUCAAAGGGCAUCUGCUGGAAGAUGAGCUUGCGUCUGAUUAGGUAGUUGGUAGGGUAACGGCCUACCAAGCCGACGAUCAGUAGCCGGACUGAGAGGUUGAACGGCCACAUUGGAACUGAGAUACGGUCCAG
rnacentral:rRNA from 1 species